AUAUGUAAAAUGAUUUAUAAAUAUUUGAAGAAUUAUUACGCAAUAUAUUGUAUUCGGUAGUUAACAAACUACAAUGCUGGCUGAAUCUUUUGAAAUAAUAAUAACUACCCUUUUCAGCAAUUUACCAUGCACUAUUCAAAAUAAAUUAGGCGUAAAGUGAUGAAAUGAUUAGGAAAAAUUAUAUGUCCAAUUAUUUGGAAGCCAUCAACAAUUUAAUCGAAUAAAAAUACGAUUUAUUUUCUACUGCUCACGAGCUUCGUCGAUAAUAAUCAAGCACGUCAAAAUGCAAAAUUAAUUGGUUGCAACGUGUGUUGUGUUAUUUUGCAGAAGAUCAGAUUUAUAGAAAAAAAUAUUUAAUUACAAAAUUGAUUUCCUAUUAUUUAUUUUUUGCUCUGAUAUCGUUAUGAUUAAGGGUAGAUAUGUUAAUCGGGUAAAACCUCAUUCAGUGAUAUAGCAAAUUUCUGCAAAUGUAUGAUGCAGUAUUUUAAGUUACAAGAGUAAUACAAUGAAUUUCAUCAAUAAUGCAAAUACAUGUGUCUCGUUACACAAUGCUGUAAAAGGUAAACAUAAAUUAAAUGAACAAAGACGAACAAUACAUACAUGUACAUGCAUCAUAAUGAACAUUGUACUUCCUUGUUAGUAAACCCCAACCACAGAGGCGGAAAAUAUCGUGUGUUUUUUUACCGUAGUUAACAAUUAUGUGUUAUGUCGUCAUUAUUUUACAAUAAAAAAGAAAUUCCGGGUUGACGAAGUCUCUAUUUCAGGACUUUUAAAUAUUCGCCCAUUGUCUUCCAAUCCGGAACCUGCCUUCAUUAAGCCCUCCUUAAAGACAUGUGUUUCCACUGGUGAAUCGCUUUUAUCAGAGGCUUGAAAAGGCUGCAAGUGGAAAACAAUAGAUCCAAUCACGAGCAGAAGUCUCUCAAACCAUAUUGGUCGCCAGAAAUUGGCUCUCGUUAAAAAACCGCUGAGAUCUCGCGAGAACUCAUAUCUCGUCACGUGAUCCUCCUCGCACAUUAGAAGAAAUUGUCUAGUGUCGUCUGCCUCCAUCAAAUUCCAAUCAAUAAGAAUCUCCUACAUUAACUUAAUAAGCCUCAACAAUGGCGAAAAUUCAUUUCAUUAGCGUAAAAGCUAGAGCAGAAGAUUUCUAACUGGACGCGGGAAAAAUUCGCCAGAAGGUCGACCCGCCGCUAUGAAUGUCGUCUGCUAAUCGACUCACGGGAUAAUUUGUGACACGGCGAACCCCUUUGGCUCGAACUCGCAUGGCUCGAUUUCCUCGUUAGCUCGAAAUGGAUGCAAAGGACCGAUUUCUUUCUGCUUAAGUGAUCAAAUCAAACGGUGACACGAGAUGACAACAGCGGAAACAAUAUGGCGGACAUAACAACACUAUUAACCCAACGCAGUGCUAAUGAGGCGAAAGUUAAUCAUUGUUUUAGCAUCUUUUCAUUGUCUCUAUCGAUUUCAAAUCCCCGACAAUUUAGCUGUUAGAGGCGGGAAUAUCGUCGUCAAUGCGGCAAUUAAGAGGAUUUUUCUCCCAGAAAAUGACAGACACCAAUUAAAUGAGAAAUAAAUGUGAUUACAAUUAAUAUACGGCAAUACGAUAGUUUGCAACGAAGUCUUAGAUUAAUUUUUCUAUCCUCUGCAGAAAAUUGUAAUAGAAAAAUGUAGGAUAUUUACCCUGCUUGACUUCGGAAUCCGUUCGUUUUCAUCUUGAAAGCCUUUCACCUGAAAAUAGAAAAUAGUUGUAAAUAAUAUAUAUGUUGUUAAAAGUGGUGUAUAAAAUUGUAUAGUAAAGUUAAAAUUUAAUACACAGUUCUGUUACAAAUUGAACAAAUUUGAUGGAUACAUUUCUAAAAAAAGGACAGCUAAGUUAAGAUGAGAUCACCAAAGUAAUAUUAGAUUAUUUUUUUCCGAUUAUGGGUCAUGUGAUAUAAUGGCCGUGAAUUAGUAAUGCUUUGAUCUUAUUCGAAAAAAAUACAUACAACUUCAUUAUUAAAUUCGUCCUUCUCCAUCCUUCCUAAAAAUCUUAUAACUGUUAAAUACAACAAAUAGACAAGAUCACACUAUCUUAAGUUGGCAAAGAAACGUUAUGACGUUCGACGAACAACUCUAAAUAAUGAAUCAUAAUAAUGAUUGUGUUUUGUUUUUUCUUCACCUAAUUUGAAUAUGUCCAUACAUUUGUAUUUAAAUGAUUUAUUAUUGUUUUACCUGUGUUUACACCAUGUGUCCAAUUAUUAUAUAUCAUCAUGAAGAUGUGCUUUGCACAAGUCUAAAUAAAUAAAUGAUCUGUUUUGUUCUAUUAUGUUCUGUUCUGUUCUGUUCUAUUAAUGAAGUAAGCGAAUUAAAAAGAGAUAUAAAGAGAGACAUACAUAUGACAGAGCAGUCUCUGUAACCAAACUAGCCAUCUUAAUCGUUGGCAUGACAUAAAUGCUUUCAAAGUAUUAUAUAUGGUUAAUUCAGAUCAGCUUUGUAUUUUCAUGAGGACAUUUUCCCUACCAUUGACCUUAUAUGACCAUACAAGCUGACUUCUACAGCCAGACAGCCCUAUUCAACAUAGAUCAGUGGAAUAUAAUACACAAUCCAAUGCAAUUGUCCAGCUUUGAAUAGCCUUUUAUAUUACAUUAUUUUAUUCACUGCCCUUGUUCAAUGAACGGAAUUUCAUUCUUUACACGGCGGCACGUUUUUACUAUGAAAUUAAGCCGCAUAGUAAGGAUUUUUCCUGACUUUUAUUACAAAAGGUAUUGUUGUGGGUGAACUUGACCCACUGAGCAUGUUUUGGUUUGACCCAAAUGUUGACAAGGAUGUUUUGACGGGGUAUUGUUGCACAUUUGCAUUCAGAGAUUGUUCAAUACGCAUUGUUCGAUUUCUGGCUUUGUUUUCUAUUGAAGAUUGCUGACAUAAUGCGUUCAUUAGAACCUGAACCGCUGAAUCAAUGUGUUAGCUAUCAUAUGUGAAUAAUAUGUGACUCCUGGCUUUAUUGAUGUGGUUUACAAUGGAGUUUGAAGAUAAUAUGAUUUGCAAUAUUUAACUGCUUUCAAUGUGUACUAAUCUAUACAUUUCUCAUUCAUCUUUUAUUUCCUUUCAUUUUUAAGUAAUUUCUAAAAAAUAUAAUACAAAAAUAAUUUAAAACGCGUGUUAAUGUAAUUAUUUAUUUAUUGAUUGAUUGUGUGUGCGUAUAUUUGUAUUUUAUAUGUUUGUAAUGUGACAAUGAGCUGUUAAUGCCUUAGUCAAAAAUAAAU